UACGUAGGGGGCAAGCGUUGUCCGGAUUUAUUGGGCGUAAAGAGCGUGUAGGCGGCUUUACAGGUCCGUUGUGAAAACUCGAGGCUCAACCUCGAGACGCCGGUGGAAACCGUAAAGCUAGAGUCCGGAAGAGGAGAGUGGAAUUCCUGGUGUAGCGGUGAAAUGCGCAGAUAUCAGGAGGAACACCCGUGGCGAAGGCGGUUCUCUGGGCCUUACCUGACGCUGAGGAGCGAAAGCGUGGGGAGCGAACAGG
rnacentral:rRNA from 1 species